rfam:Microgenomates bacterium GW2011_GWF1_44_10 TW18_C0004, whole genome shotgun sequence.
UUUUUUGAGAAUUUGAUCCUGGUUCAGGAUGAACGCUGGCGGUGUGCCUUAAGCAUGCAAGUCGAACGGUAUAUUGUUGGACUUUGGAUGACUCAACGGCACGAUCGCUCUUUUAUAGAGUAAUUUGUGUUGUUGAUUCCAAAGUCCAAUGAUGUGCAGUGGCAGACGGGUGAGUAAUACGUAGGAACCUACCUCUUUGUGGGGGACAGCUCGCCGAAAGGCGGGGUAAUACCGCAUGUGAUCGCAAGAUCAAAGCCGUAAGGCGCGAAGAGAGGGGCCUGCGUCCCAUCAGCUAGUUGGCGGGGUAAACGCCCACCAAGGCAACGACGGGUAGCCGGUGUGAGAGCAUGGCCGGCCACAAGGUCACUGAGACACGGGACCUACACCUACGGGUGGCAGCAACUGGGAAUCUUGCGCAAUGGACGAAAGUCUGACGCAGCGACACCGCGUGUGGGAAGAAGGCCUUCGGGUUGUAAACCACUGUGGCGAGGGAACAAAAAAAUGAGGGUACCUCGCUAGAAAGCACCUGCUAACUACGUGCCAGAAGCCUCGGUAAUACGUAGGGUGCAAGCGUUAUCCGGAUUUACUGGGCGUAAAGCGUCUCGAAGGUGGACGCGCGCGUGGCGGGUUUAAGCCCGGAGCUCAACUCCGGACCAGCUCGUCAUACGGCGUGUCUCGAGUCUGUUAGGGGGAAUCAGAAUUCUCGGUGUAGGGGUGAAAUCCGUAGAUAUCGAGAGGAAUGCCAAAAGCGAAGGCAGGUUCCUGGGACAGUACUGACACUCUAGGACGAAAGCCAGGGUAGCAAAAGGGAUUAGAGACCCCUGUAGUCCUGGCCCUAAACGAUGCUCGCUAGAUGGUUCACUUCGGUGGGCUGUCGUAAGCUAACGCGUUAAGCGAGCCGCCUGGGGAGUACGGCCGCAAGGCUAAAACUCAAAGGAAUUGGCGGGGGAGCGCACAACCAGUGGAGCAUGUGGUUUAAUUCGAGACGAAGCGAAGACCUUACCUAGACUUGACAUGUACCUGCAAGCUGUGGAAACACAGUCGCCUUUGAGGGUGGUACACAGGUGAUGCAUGGUUAUGCAUUUGUGCGAAAGCACAGACGAUGACCCCUUACACAGUAAUGUGUAAGUGACAACUAAGCUCAUAACGGUGAACCCUAGCGUAAAAUGUGUUAUGUAUUACAUAUGGCACAUCGAAUGUUUGGCAACCCCGUGGGAAGCUCAAGGCAAAAAGUUUUUCCUUUGUUGAAUAUUGAUUCAUAUAUUCUUGGUUUGUGGAGUGCAGAUGGAUAUUUACGAUCAAGCAGUUUUGGACUGACAUCGAUUUAUCCCAUUUUAAUUGAUAGAUUUCGAGCUUUUUUACGACUUUAUUUUGAUAAUUCCCGAAUAAAGGUGCGAAAGUACCUUCCAAUGAAGGAUUUUUAUCAAUAUGAUUUUGCGAAAAAUCCAAAAGUUUAUCUUUUAAAAAAAGCAAAGCAUCCCGCAUAUCAGAUAUAUGUGAAUUGUAGGCCGUUUAUUCGCGCAUUCUUUAAUGAAGAUUUGCAAAAGAGGAGUGUAUUGCAAAAUACACAAGCCUAUUUUGCAGGUCGAUUUGAUGGUGAUGGAAGUGUGUCUAAAAAUUUGAAAAACGAUUUUCGGAUCGCAUAUACAACAUUUGAAGAUGCACAACGAGAUCAAAAAUAUGUAAAUAUUUUAUCUUCCACUAUUACUUCAUCAAUUUAUCAUUACGAACACGCGAAGACGUUUGUUUUGUAUAUUCAUACAGACGCAUCUCAUGAAUUCUUGAGAUUAAUAGAGCCGUAUUCAGCAAAAGCGCAAAAGCUUCUUGUAGCCCCGUAGAGACUGAUCCGCAAACGCGGUGAGAUACAUUUCGUAUCAUACGCUUAGCCCCUUUGAAAUAAGGGUGAUGGUAUAGUCCGUCUAUCAGGAAACUGAAUAGAUUAUCGGUCGUCAGCUCGUGGCGUGAGUCGUCUGCUUCAGUGCAGCAACGAGCGCAACCCCUGUCGCGUGUUAUAUUUCACGCGAGACUGCCGGUCACCAAGAUCGGAGGAAGGAGGGGACGACGUCAAAUCAGCACGUCCCUUACGUCUAGGGCCACACACAUCCUACAAUGGCGAGUACAACGGGUCGCGACGGGGUAACCCCGAGCUAAUCCUUAUAAAACUUGCCUCAGUUCAGAUUGAGGGCUGAAACUCGCCCCCAUGAAGUCGGAAUUGGUAGUAAUCGCAAAUCAGAAGAUUGCGGUGAAUACGUUCUCGCUCCUUGCACAACGUAAAUAUGCGCCUUCCGUUUAUAUCAUUA